AUUUAUCCAUUUCCCCAUGAUUUACACUGUAAAAGGUAUUUAUCCUUUAGUUAUAUACACGCAUAUUGUAGAGAUUCUUUUUAUAAGUAGGCGGUGAUGACCUGUGCGAGCACGGGCCCAACAACAUAGGCUGUAACUUCUAUUCUUGAUCAAAUUUGUUUUGAUAUGACCUGCAGAACAGAAAAAAAUUGAUAGAUGUUAAAAAAUUGAUACAUGUAUGACGAUCAAAUCGGAUAAAGACGAUAUUGUACUAAUGGAUAUUAUGUACAUACAUAAAGCACAAAAUGUCUAUUGUUGGAUUUUGCUGGAUAUUAUUUACAUACAUAAAACAGGAUGUUCAUUGUUGGGUGUAACGUCAAUGUCGACUCAUUACAUUCUGGGGUUGAAGAAGGUCCCAGCCACCAUGUUGUAGUUAGGCUCCUUUCUUGCCUGCCUCUGACAAAAAUAUUUGUAUUUGUAGGGAUUAUUUGUUAAUCUAGUCUAGCCAAUCUCAUUCUUUCACAAUGGAAUUAGUAGAGAAAAGGGAUAAAAGAAGACAACUAAUUUCAUGGUCGUACUUAACAUACCUUUCUAAACAUGGUUUGUCAUAGAUCCCUGUUCGUGCUUCGCUGUAGCUUGCAAAAAGCUAUAGGCUCAAACUUAGCUUGCCCAGUAAAAAGAGAUGUGAGUACGCACGACUACUCCACAAAGCUACAUAACUUGCAAUAAAU
rnacentral:lncRNA from 1 species